rnacentral:rRNA from 1 species
GGCCGAUCGCGCCAGAUCACACUGGACCGUUCCGACAUAGGUGGCGACAGGCGACAGAGGCUAAGCGGUACACGUCGUCUAUGUCCAACUACCGCUCCUUAUCCAUCCUACCACCACACAUCGUCCCACCCCGCUCCUCCUCUGGGCCAUGCGCCCCUCCACCGCGCUCCUUCUCGCUACAUGGCUGCCGCCCGGUCGUCCUCUCGUCGAGACCCGCCACGUCACACUCCCGACCUCCUCCUCCUCUUGCCUACUCCCGGCGACAAGUGCCACGCCCAGCCCCUGCCCGACGACCCCCUCCUCCUCCUUCCUCCUGAUGAUGCACGCGGGGCCUGCUCCCCCGGUCACCUGCGCCGUCGGGCGCAAGCCCGUUCUACCUCCCGCCGCGGGGACGGGCCCCUAAUGGUGGUGCUCAAGGAGUCUAAGAAGGCCACGAAAGGGUGACGCCGCCGGUGGACGUGGUCGUUCAAGGUGAGGGUCCUGGAUGGAGCGCAAUGGAAGGAGACAGACGACAUCAGCGACAACGUGCUGCUGGUCGCGGUGAACGAGUCGACAUCAGGAACGCCAUGCUGCUGGUCGUGGCAAAUGAGUCGGUGUGUGUGUCCAUCAGGGUGCACCCGAGGCUAUGGGCCGACUGUGUCUGCUCUUCAAGCGGAUGAGCAUGGGCGUUCACGGCUGGCGUGCUUCUGAAUUGGUAAAUUUCUGCAUAAGUUUAGUUCACCUAGUCGUUGCUCAUGACGGCUGUAAUAGUUGCUCAAAAAGGUCGUAGCUGACGAUGGAGGAGAGGUUAGGGAGUGCAGGCAGGUCGAGCAGUAGCUUUUUGUCGGGGUUAGACUUGCUCACAAAAUCAGAUGAAAGUUGUAGGAUUUAUGAAAGCUAGUGGAGAAGCACCCAAGCAAGCAGGUUGAUUGAUUUGCCGUAGACUUGCAUAUGUGUAUGCCGGGCUGGCUAGCUUACUCUUGGUCGAUUCACGCGAUUCAAUUCUUUGCCUGAGCAAUGAAGUUGGGCAGUUUCGUAAUAAAUUCCAAAUAAAUUUGUUCACUUUAUAUCAGUAACAUUUGUUUAGUAGUAAAUUGUUUUAAUUUAUACAAAAGUUGCAAUUUCCAAUGGAGUAAGUUUCCUCAAUAUAAAUAGUACUUGCCCAAAUCACCCAGUAAAAAAUUAUAUACAACCGCAAUGUAAAUAGUACUCCAGGGACAAUGGAGUUGCUUGGAUUCUUAAUAAAAGUUACAUUUUUUGUGUGUAACGCAGUCGCUUAGAUUUACUAGGGCAGUGGCUCGG